rnacentral:lncRNA from 1 species
CGCCCUCUUCGCUUCCGCGCCGCCCCCGCCAGGUGGAGGGGGUGGGGGCGGUCGGGACAGGCGCGAGUUUGGAGGAAGCCGCCGCGGAAGGGGUUUCCCGCCCGGGCUAGCGUAGUGCUGGCAUCCAGAGGCGAACAGCGGAGCUCCCGCCCGGCUGAGCGGGCCGCAGCUGCGGCAGGGGAGCCCAGGCUGGGCGGCCGGGAUCCCGGGGUUCGCGCGGGGAUGCGCGCCGAGGAGGCGAGAGCUGGCUGAGGAGGACGACGACGACGACGACGAGGAGGAGGGCGAAGCGGCGAGCGCCGGGCGCAGGCGGACGGGCUGCCUGCCGGCGAGGAAGGCUGUGUGUGGUCACGUUGUGCGCUACGUGUUGGGAGCGCGAGCUGCUAGCCGCAGCCGGCGACGUCAAAGCCGGGUGCGCGGCUCGGCUCCUUCCUCCGGCUUCUCUGCCUCUUCUGCUCCUCCUCCUCGCUGCCUUCCAGAGCGGGCCCCGGAGCUCAUCAGUAUGGACGGCGCCGAGAGGCUCCGCGCGGCCGGCGGCAUCCGGCCUCCAGCCUCCCCGGCCGAGCCCUUCCCGCUCCCCGGAGCUCCGCGGGGACCCGGGCCGCUUAUAUACCUGCUGUUGGCGUUUGCAAGCCGAGGGCCAGCUACCACCUAGACUUGCGUACCAGCGAUCAAACUUGAGACCUUGCGCUUGCGAGGCAGGCGGUGGAACCAUUGAGCUAAAUCCCCGGCCCAGUCACGGAUUUUUUAACAUUUAUGUUAACACAGUUUAUGAACAAUGUAGUCUUAAAAUUUAAUAAACACCUUUUCUAAACAUGUUUGCAUCACUUUCUUAUUUUCAAACCUUAAUACUUUAUUUUGUGUGUAUGUACAUGAAUGUAUGUUUUGUAAAUUUUCAAGUUUCAUCUUUAAUUUGUCUCUUCAAAUGUGUUUGUAAAUUAUACUGUUUCUUUUUUACAAAUUGUCUUGUUUUUAUUUUCAUCUCUAAUUAUUCCUGUUAGGUUCCUUGGAAUAAGUUUGGCAUUCCAGUUAUAGUUUCUUAGACUGAAUAAUUAGUUUAUUUUUAAUAUUACUGAUAAAAGUAUUGACAUUUAUACCUCCUGUCCUGAGUGUAAAAUUUGCUAUUUCAUUAUAUUUUUGACAUAAUAUAGUGUCAUUUGUUAGCUUUCAUAUACACUGUAACAAUUGUUCCUUUGAAUUCUUAAUUGCAGUUGCCAUGGAGAAUUUUUUAAAAAUUUGCUUGUGAGUAGUUACCUACAUGAAGUAUGGCUUACUGCAAAAAUGAUGCACUUAUUAUAUAUAGCUUAUACUAUACAGUUUAUACUAUAAAUGAUACUGACUAUAUCAUUUCUGUUUUACUAAGUUUUUUUUUAAACUUUCUCUGUGGCCCUUUAGACUUUUCUCCUAGGUAUAUUUUAGGAACUUUGUAAGUACCAUGGAAGUUUGCCUGUAAGAUAUAUAGUUUUAUGCAAAUGUAAAAAUAUAAAACUAAUCUUAAUCAGACUAUUAAUAUGCUCUGUAGCCUUCAAUGAAUGCUGCACCAAUAUAUUUUGUCAUUUAUUAUUGCAGAGGACAGGUCUGAAGCCAGCUUAAUUUUUCAUCUACUAGUGGUGUUUUUCAAAGUGUAUUCCAUGUUUUUAUCUUUUGUUUGUGACUGACAUAUUUUAUAAGAAUAUAUCUGAAUAAAGACAUUUCCAGCUAACAGUGCUUUAAAUGAGAUAAGCCCUCCUACUUUUAAAAAUUCCUAUUCUAUUUUUUUUUUCUUUUUGAGACAAGGUCUCAU